rnacentral:rRNA from 1 species
AUUGAACGCUGGCGGAAUGCUUUACACAUGCAAGUCGAACGGCAGCACGGACUUCGGUCUGGUGGCGAGUGGCGAACGGGUGAGUAAUACAUCGGAACGUGCCCAAUCGUGGGGGAUAACGUAGCGAAAGCUACGCUAAUACCGCAUACGAUCUAAGGAUGAAAGCGGGGGAUCGCAAGACCUCGCGCGAUUGGAGCGGCCGAUGGCAGAUUAGGUAGUUGGUAGGGUAAAGGCCUACCAAGCCGACGAUCUGUAGCUGGUCUGAGAGGAUGAUCAGCCACACUGGGACUGAGACACGGCCCAGACUCCUACGGGAGGCAGCAGUGGGGAAUUUUGGACAAUGGACGCAAGUCUGAUCCAGCCAUUCCGCGUGCAGGAUGAAGGCCCUCGGGUUGUAAACUGCUUUUGUACAGAACGAAAAGGCUCUGGUUAAUACCUAGGGCUCAUGACGGUACUGUAAGAAUAAGCACCGGCUAACUACGUGCCAGCCGCCGCCGUAA